GAGUGUAUCCGACCUUCCUCGUGGCUCUUUCUGUUUCCCGUACAGGGUGGAGGUGACAGCACCCGGCGGGUCAGGCCUGCUCUGUGCUUUCUAUUUUCUGCUCAGUGUGUCUGCAGCUGUUGUUUGUCACUCUGCCUCUCGGGUUCUGGCAGGAGGUCGGUGGGUAAAAGCACGCUGACCUCUCACUUCCACUCAGCCAUGGAGCUUCAGCGUGCAGCACUGGCCACGUUGUUCCUGCUCACACUGCUCUCAUCAGAGUGCAAUGGCAGGAACGAAGAGGAGCGUGUCAUUGAAUACGUAUUUAAAGAGAUGGGAUACAACAAGGAGCUGCGUCCCGUCGAGAAGCAGCAGGAUGUUGUCGAUGUUUACCUCGCCCUCACGCUCUCCAACCUCAUCUCUCUGAAAGAAGUAGAUGAGACGCUGCUGACGAACGUGUGGCUGGAAAUUACGUGGACUGACUACCGGCUGACGUGGAAUUCCACAGAGUUUGGUGGCAUUGAGAUACUCCGACUGCCGCCCAGCAUGGUGUGGCUGCCGGAGAUCGUUCUGGAAAACAAUAAUGAUGCCCAGUUUGAAGUGGCCUACUACAGUAAUGUACUGGUGUAUAGUAAUGGUUUCUGCUACUGGUUGCCACCGGCCAUCUUCCGCUCCUCCUGCUCCAUCAACGUCAGAUAUUUCCCCUUCGACUGGCAGAACUGCACGCUCAAGUUCACCUCUCUGACCUACAAUGCCAAAGAGAUCCGGAUGCUCCUGAAAGAAGAAUACGCCGGAGAAGUCGCCAACUACACAGUAGAGUGGGUCAUUAUUGACCCUGCUAGCUGGACAGAAAACGGCGAGUGGGAGAUCGUCCACCGGCCGGCCAAGAGAAACAUCUACAAGCACAUCCCCAUGGACAGCAACAAGCACCAGGACAUCACCUUCUACCUGGUCAUCAAACGCAAACCUCUAUUCUACAUUGUCAACAUCAUCAUUCCCUGUGUGCUCAUCUCCUUCCUGGCCUGCCUCGUCUACUACCUGCCCGCUGACAGUGGUGAGAAGAUGACCUUGUCCAUCUCUGUGCUGCUCGCUCAGUCUGUCUUCCUGCUGCUGAUCUCUCAAAGGCUGCCAGAAACUUCCAUGUCUGUUCCGCUUAUUGUUAAGUAUUUGAUGUUCAUCAUGGUGCUGGUUACUGUGGUCGUUUUAAACUGUGUGGUCGUCCUCAACCUGCACUUCAGGACGCCGAGCACGCACGUCAUGACUGAGUGGACCAAGAGGUUUUUCCUCGAACGGUUGCCUCGGCUCUUGCUCAUGUCCCACCCUGCGGAGGCAGAGCCAGCGUGGGAGGGAGCGUUGCCGCGACGAUCGAGUUCAGUGGGUUACAUCGCCAAAGCGGACGAGUACUACACCGUCAAGUCUCGCAGCGAGCUGAUGUUUGAGAAACAAUCGGAGAGACACGGCUUCACCACUCGAGUCACCCACGCAGCAUUGGUGAAACCCCAGGAUGAUGGAGGUGUGACGGAUCAGCUGUACUCUGAAAUGAAGCCAGCUGUGGACGGAGCGAACUACAUCAUCAAACACAUGCGCAACAAGAACGAAUACAACGAGGAGAAAGAUAACUGGAGCGGCAUCGCUCGCACCGUGGACCGUCUCUGCCUCUUCCUGAUCACUCCUGUGAUGAUCCUUGGCACCAUCAUCAUCUUCCUGAUGGGAGCCUGCAACAGUCCUCCACGUCUGCCCUUUGAAGGAGACCCGCAUGACUACAUGGAGAACCAUGCACGUCUGCUGUAAACAUGAACAAAAACACCCAACACAGCAGAGAGCGCUGUUACUGUGUUCAUAUCCUGAGUGACACAGAUAUCGAGGUGAGCUGGUGAGGAUAUCCUGCACCUUUCUGUCAGUAAGUGCUGCUGUUAGUCAGCAUUAGUACAACAGUCUGUAAAGUGGAUGUAACUUUGUUGGAUUCUGAGACUUGGAUAAUAAACUCUCAUAUCAUGUGAGAUACUUUACCUUUAAAAAAACUGUUUAAGUGUGAUUUUUAGGACACUUCAGUCCUACAUUACCUGGCAUAAUGUUAGUAACCAGCUCUGCUCAGGAAACGGUUAAACAAGAGCUGGCAGGUCGGUCCAUAAAAUGUUCAAGUAAAAACGUUGCAUUCUCUUGUAUUUUGAUUAGAGUGAAGAUUUAAGAUCGAGUGGAUCCCAUGGGGUUUCCUGAGUUUUAAGCACUCUUGACUUUAGGAUUGAGGGUUAAUCACUGAGAUCAGUGAAGACAGAUACACUGACUCUCUGGAACAUGGUGCAAACUGUCACAUGCACUGCUGUCUGAAAACACAGGGCUGCAUUACAUCCUGCAUCACCUCGAUCAAGCCAGGACGUAGGACAGCAUCAUAAUCUCAGACAUCCACCACCAGAAGCUCACCCAGCUUACUGUGCCUUCCUCCACCUGUCAGUAGAUCACUAUCUUCCUGACGAAGCGCAUCACAUCCCACACAUGGACCAUUAACACCGGCCUCCCACAGGGGUGCACUCUCUCCCUGCUCUUCUCCCUCUACACUAAUGUUACAGCACCUCAGCAGAAUCAUCUGUGAAACCAUCAAGGUUCUGAUCUAGGAUGAUGACGAGGCUGCCUGCAGACAGGAGGUGGACCAGCUGGUGCUGUAAGAACCACCUGGAGCUGAACCCGCUGUGGACUUGGAGAACCUGCCCCCCUCCAUAUUUUUUAAAGCAAAACUUUAAUUUUUUCCACCACACACUUCAAUUUUUACCAGCUAUACC